rnacentral:lncRNA from 1 species
CUUGCCCUGGUUACACAGCAGGGCCAGGUUCUGAUGCCAAAGCUCGCACCCUUAUCUGCAGCUUUCCACUGUCUUUCUCCAGAGUCCUUGGUGCCAAGGACUCAGCAGUGCAGAUAAAGGGACCUGACGGCAGCAACUGAGGGGCCAGGGCUGGGUUUGGACCUCAGGGGACCUUCCCUCCCAACUCUGGGUCUUGGUGCUAUGGAGUCAGAAAAUCUGUUAUCAGUCAUUUAUGGAGGAUUGAGCUUGGGGCAAAGAAUUUCUACCCAUCUUAAAGAGGACACUAGAAUCCAGAUGUUAGCAUCCAGGGCGACCCGUAGCCACCAUCUUUCUGGUAAUCCCUCCCUACAGACCGUCUCUUCAGGAGACCUCUUGGCAGAUACAAAUGUUGCUCAAGGAUAGUCCCACCAGUGAAUUAUUCUUCUCUUUUCUUGAUUUGUUGGUUCUGGUCUUUGGAAGUCAGAGUGCCUUCUUUCUUGAUCUUUAAUGGUGAUGUUUCCACACAUUCUUACUCCAAAUUUUAUUUUCCAAUAUUCCUCCCUAGGCCCCCAGUGUUCUGUCAUCACAGCACUGCUUUAAGAAAAUCAUGGUAGCACUUUUGAGGUUUAGGUUUAUUUUCUAGCAAGACAUUAACACUUCUGCCUUUCAAAGAGGAACUGGAGAGAGAAAUAGAUUAGGAGGCAGGAAGCUGGAUGCCAGGCUCAGCUCAGCUCCCUGAGAGUUGUGUGGUCCCAGGCAAGUCAGCCCACUGAGCGAGUAGAGGGUCUAAUCCCGCCAUUGUACUUCUUGGUCUGGAAGAAGCUCAGCAUAUUCUCCUGCCUGGGGCUGGGCUGGAGAGACAAGCCCCUGGCUCUAGGGUAUGGGAGAAACGAGGGUGUCAGGAUGAUGGCCAAGAGGGAGGAUGAAAUAGUUCCCCACAACAAAGGGGCAUGAGUUCUGAGCUACUUUGAAUGACGAGCUCCUGGCAUCUGAGGAUUCACUCCUGAGACCCCCUUUGGAAGAAACUUCCCUGACUGACUGUUGCAGGGUCCAGACUUCCAGACACAUGGGAAACAAGAAACGGGACCAGAGAUGGACAUCGUUGAUGUAAACUUCUCCUUGAGUCAUCUCCAGGUCACAUCUAAGUAUCUUCUCAGAGGGCGUCAAGGCAGUUUUUUCAACCUUCUUUUUAUUGAUAGGUUGGUAUCAUACAUUACUUUCUUUUUUUUUUUUUUUAGGACUGCAUCCGUAGCUAGGGGUCUAAUCAGAGCUGCAGCUGCUGGCCUACACCACAGCCACAGCAACACCAGAUCUGAGCCAUGUCUGUGACCUACACCACAGCUCAUGGCAACGCCGGAUCCUUAACCUACUGAGUGAAGCUAGGGAUCGAACCUGCAUCCUCAUGGAUGCCAGUCAGAUUCAUUUCCGCUGAGCCAUGACAGGAACUCCAACACUACCUUCUAAGAAAAGUGAUUGCUGCCCUGGAGAUUGGACUUUCAGGACUCACUGGAGAUAUUUGAACUAUUUUCAAUAUUUCAGAAAAUCUUUAGGAAAUUGUACAUUUACACAGAUAAUAAUGUGUGUCCUAACAAAAAUGUUCAGUUCCUUUGCCUUUGGGCUAGAAAUUAUAUUAUUAGAUUGGUGUGGUAACACUGGUUAUCUCAUGCUAAUGGGAAAAGUUGACUGGCAGACCUCUAUAUUAUGAGUAAUUAAUAAGCAGGGAAAAUAAUUCAUUUACUUAUUUGCCGUUUACCCCCCAUCCUGUUACACAGCAGAUUGGAGAUGGCUGAAUUACUGCUUGAUUUUUUAAAAAUUAUAAAAUAUCUUUUACACCAUUGAGCUUGUGCAGGAAAAAACUAAUGAAAAUAGCAUUAGGGAAUGAAGGCUUGGAGGGCUCUAUGUUGUCUUAUCUCUUAUCACUAAGGUAGGUGGUCUGAGGGUUAGUGGAGCACCCCUAGAGGCCUCUUAGAAAGGGGGCUACUUGCGUUCAGCCUCAAAGACACCCCUCCAACUAGGGGUGCAGAUGACUUUUUUUCUACUCUGAUAAAGUUGUCCCUAAGCUUUACAUUCACCUGGAUUCUUGAACUUCCCAGUUAUUUAAAUUCUUGGGGAUGAACUUAAUGUCCAACCUCUGUCUAAAACUGUACCUUGUGGAAAAUAAUAUUCUUAAAAUGUGUAUAUAUGACUAAGCCAUUUUGCUAUACAUCAGGAAUUGGCACAACACACUAAAUCAACUAUAAUUUUAAAAAGUUCUUAGAUAAAUAAAAAGUCUAUUUGCUUAAUUAAUACAUUUAAAAAGAAAAACAACCUGUAUCUUGUAAACCAGAGUCCUCACUUGCUUCUCUGAAUGACGAAGGCCCUUUCUUCUCCGCCCUGUUUAGCAGGUAAUCAGGCAAAGCCUUGGUGUCUUUGCUAAAUGCUCCCCUGUUAUACAUCUCUCCGAGGCCCCUUGUAGGCCCCUCUCAAAUCUUUAGUAGCAGAAGAUUUGAUUCAAUGCCAUAGAGGACCUUAUCAUUUUGUAACCUUUACUAUUUCAAAACGCUUUUGUGGGCUAGUGGUCGUCACACCAGUGAAGAGAGGUAAGUGGGGAGGUGUUAACAUCUUUCUUCUGUAGACGAAGAAAUAGAGUCUCAGGGGAGAAAUAGAGCCUCAGGGAAGACAUAGAGGCUUACCCAGAGCCACCCUGUGGUCAAAUGAAAGAUCUGGAAUAUGAACCACUAAAGCUUCCUUUUAUUCCCCCCUCCACUGUGCACCUUCUUUCUAGGCAUUCCAUUCCAAGUGCAGUGGCUUUUAAAUUAUAUCACCUUACUGGACAGUAUUGCAAUAAGUUAUUUCUCAGGAGAUUUGAGUGAGCUGCUAGAAACCCUUUUGAGUGGAUAUGGGGCUAAUCCUGAUAGCAGUAAAGCUUAUGCUGUAACCUUUGUUUAGCUGAGAGCUUUAUUUUUCUAUCUGAUACUUGGACCAGUCAAGGACUGGGGAGCCCACAGCCCAACAUUCCCAUUCUGCCAAGAGGGCUGCAAAAAUAAUAACCAUCUGGAUAAAUGAAGCUGCCUGGUAAACAAGGGAACUGAGCACCCUCAAAGAGAAGCAGUCUCCUUCUGUCCCACCGACCAGCAGCUUUCCUUGGUUGGUUUCUGUGUUAUUUCCUUUCUCGUCUUACCUUAAGGUCUAAUUCUGGAUUCACUGAGGUGUUACUGCAAAGCCUCCCUUCCCUUCUCAGUUGGGACACGUAGAUGAUCUGGAAGGUGGAAUCGAGUUGGGUCCUCUGAAGCCUGCAAAUUCAGGCUCUGCCACUCCCCAGGGCAGAAGCCCAUCUCACCAGCCAGGAGGAGGAUUUUAGCUGUUCCUUUAGGUUGGCUGCAAAGUCUCAAUCCCAGGCCCCAACAUGCUGCAUCCUUCUGGGAGGAUGAGAAAGGAAUUGCUUCAUUUUGAGGCAGCCAAGUGGAUAGAUGGUGGGGAGUGUCUGCUUUGGAAAUGCAUUUCUCACAGCAAAUAACAUUUGCAUGAUUGCACCUGCAAAUAUCACCGUGGCAUUUGCUAAGUGAAACACAUGCUUUUGCUUGCCUGACCUUCACCUUGUUCCAGCCCCAAAGUGAUCCUGUGUCUGGGGGCAGGGGUGUCUACCAUGGGGAGGGACUCUCCCCUCAGCUCUGUCCUCUGAGGGUAAGAUGUUCCCAUCUUUACCUGGGAGAAAACAUCUCUUGCAACACGGACUCCAAGUCUUAAGCAAAUUCUGAUCCGAGUGGUCUGUGACAUGGAGGCAAUGACAGUGAACCCUUAUAGUUUUUAUUCUUUGCCUCUUAUAAGUCUGCAAUAUAUGAGAUGAUGGGCCUUUUCUAUUUUGCAUUGUACUAGACCCUCUUUUGUCUUGAUAUUUUUGUACAUAUGCACAGUUACCUGCAAAGAUGAUCAGCUCCUGCUGGAGGGCGACUGUAUCUUUUACUGCGCGGAGUUGGUGGGCUGCGUUUAGGUGUCUGUGCAAAUAUGUCUGUAUAAGACCAUAUGGGGGGAGUUCCCGUUGUGGCGCAGUGGUUAACGAACCGACUAGGAACCAUGAGGUUGCGGGUCCAAUCCCUGGCCUUGCUCAGUGGGUUAAGGACCUGGCGUUGCCGUGAGCUGUGGUGAAGGUUGCAGACGCGGCUCGGAUCCUGCUUUGCUGUGGCUCUGGCGUAGGCUGGUGGCUAAGGCUCCGAUUCGACCCCUAGCCUGGGAACCUCCAUAUGCCGCGGAAGCAGCCCUAGAAAAGGCAAAAAGACAAAACAAAACAAAAAAACCAUAUGGGCACAGAGAAGCAUGUGGAUGGGUACAUACUGGGUUGUUAACAUGGAUUGUCUGGGCAAGGGGUGGCUAAUGUGGAUGGGAAUAGAAGGAGAAUUGGAAGGGUAGUUCAACAAAGAAAAAGGGCAAAGAAAGGCUACACUUAAAAAAGAAGCCAUUCCUAGUACCUCAGUUCAGCUUUGGAGAAAAAAGAAAAGAAAAGAAAAAAGCCAAGAUGAUGAAUCAGCCAAUCACAUGUAUGCACUUGUGUGAAAUUUUACAUGUGUAUGUAUGUCAAGAAAUUAACAUAGAGUAUAAAUAAGGAAGACAAAAGAAGUACUGUGCACAUACAGACAUGCAAUAAAUAUCUGGUGAAUGAAUGAGUGCUGGAUAGCAUGCUGAUGUGAUCAUCUCAUAGACUUGAAUUUUCAAGGAGUAGUUUAUUUGCUAAUAUUACUCUGACCCUGCAAUGCUGGUAGUGAGAUGGUAUAAGCAGAAUCACUAAUGUUCUCUGGCUCGGAGGUAGGACCACCUGCCUGGGAGAGUCCCAGUUUACUCUGUGGUCCCCUGUUCACUGGCCAGCUGGAGUAAUCGAUCCAAGUGGAAAUGACAGGCCCCAGCCCGGGUGUUGUGCAUUAGCAUUGGUGGGGUGAGGGGUAGGCUUGGGAAUCUGCAGUAUUAUGCUCAUUACAGCUUCAGAACUGUUGCUCUCGUCCUUGUUAGCUGCCAAAGUGAUGUAGGGCCUUUAUAAUUAACGAUUUUUCAAACACAGCAAAACAAAGAAAGAUUUAUUAUUUGUUAUAUUUAAAAAAAAAUCAUGCCUCAUUGUCUGACCUUCUUUUGUUUAUUGCCAGUAUUUAAAAGACCUAAUUCAUGAGAACUUUGUAAUGUGUACAUAAAACUUGAAAUGAAGCCGUAAUUCCUGAACGGAAUACCCCUCAGUACCUUCUCUUAUCCCAGAUUUGUGCAAUGCUGACCUGCCCUAGCAAAAGAAUCUAAGGUCUUUUGUCAUCCUAAAACAAAUUUCUGAAAACAAAUGUUAAAAGCAGCAUGGAGGAGGAGAUCCCUGCUAGCUCAGCAUGAUCUGGUGGUGUCACUCUUGUGGCUCUGAUUACAGAUAUGGCGUGUGUUCGGUCCUGGGCCUGGGAACUUCUACAUGCCAUAGGUUCAGCCAAAAAAAACCAAAACCAAAAACAAAACAACCAGCAUGGAAAAUAGUAUAAUGACCCUCCACGUUCUCACCUCUCAGUUUCACCCAGGCAUAAUAUUGUGCUAUGCUUUCUUCAAAUAUAUAUUUUCAUAAAUAAAACAUUCUAGGAAAAAUUGUGUAGCCUUCCCUGACCCAUCCUUCUUUCCCCUUCCCACGAGUAACCACAGUCCUGAAUUUAGUGAUUUUCUUUCCAUCAAUAUUUCAUAUAUCACCGUAAGAUAUAUUCAUACACACUUUGACAUAUUUUAAACUUCAUAUAAAUGGUAUCAUACAGUAUGUAUUUCUCUACAAAUAGAUUUAUUUUGCUCAAUGAUUUACCAUGUUGACAUAUGUAGCUCCAACUCAUUUAACUGUUAUGUAGUGUGGCAUAGUGUGAUAUAGUAUUGCGUCAUAGAGAAUGGUAGCAUAGUAUUACCAGUGUUGUAUGAAUGUAGUAACAGUUUUAUUUUAUUUUUUUUUUUUUUUGAGGGACAUUUAAGGUGCUUUCAUUUUUGAAACUAUUGCAGUGAACGUUUUUGAGAAUUUCUCUUGCUGUGUGAGGAUGUUCUACAUCUAGCACUGGACUCCUGGCUUAUCCUGUGUGUGUAUCUGCAGCUUUGACAGUCUUUGCCAAAUUGUUCGGCAAAGAAGUUGCACCAGGGAGUUCCCUUCAUAGUUUAGCAGUUAACGAACCCGACUAGGAUCCAUGAGGAUGAGGGUUUAAUCCCUGGCCUUGCUCGGUGGGUUAAGGAUCUGGCAUUGCCAUGAGCUGUGGUGUAGGUUGCAGACAUGGCUCGGAUCUGGCGUAGGCUGGUGGCUACAGCUCUGAUUAGACCCCUAGCCUGGGAACCUCCAUAUGCCAGUGGGUGUGGC